UACGGGGGUGCAAGCGUUGUUCGGAAUCAUUGGGCGUAAAGAGCGUGUAGGCGGCUGAGCAAGUCAGAUGUGAAAUCCCUGGGCUUAACCCAGGAAGUGCAUUUGAAACUGUUCAGCUUGAGUAAGGAAGAGGAAGUGGAAUUCCUGGUGUAGAGGUGAAAUUCGUAGAUAUCAGGAGGAACACCGGUGGCGAAGGCGGACUUCCUGGUCCUAUACUGACGCUGAGACGCGAGAGCGUGGGGAGGCAAACAGGAUUAGAUACCCGGGUA
rnacentral:rRNA from 1 species